UAUACAGGAAGGGAACAGAGUGUCUAGCUAUUCCAAACACCUUAUUUUACUCUUAAAAUUGAUGGAGCCUUAUUCGGUCAUCUGAAUGAUUCCCUCCUCAUCAAGCAACAUCAAAAAAAGCAUAUGAUAAUCUUUCUCCUGGCUCAUUUCCAUUAUAAGAAGCUCUAGAUUUUGGCCUCUAAAGUUUCAAAACUUGUCAAAC